rnacentral:sRNA from 10 species
AAGUGUGUGAAGGAGCGGUUUUACGGAAUCAGUGGAAACAAGGAAACACUUUAUUUCGUGAAUCCACGAA